AGUGAACGCUGGCGGUAGGCCUAACACAUGCAAGUCGAACGGCAGCACAGUAAGAGCUUGCUCUUACGGUUGGCGAGUGGCGGACGGGUGAGGAAUACAUCGCAAUCUACUUUUUCGUGGGGGAUAACGUAGGGAAACUUACGCUAAUACCGCAUACGACCUACGGGUGAAAGCAGUGGAUCUUCGGACCUUGCGCGAUUGAAUGAGCCGAUGUCGGAUUAGCUAGUUGGCGGGGUAAAGGCCCACCAAGGCGACGAUCCGUAGCUGGUCUGAGAGGAUGAUCAGCCACACUGGAACUGAGACACGGUCCAGACUCCUACGGGAGGCAGCAGUGGGGAAUAUUGGACAAAGGGCGCAAGCCUGAUCCAGCAAUACCGCGUGGGUGAAGAAGGCCUUCGGGUUGUAAAGCCCUUUUGUUGGGAAAGAAAAGCAGCAGGUUAAUACCCCGCUGUUCUGACGGUACCCAAAGAAUAAGCACCGGCUAACUUCGUG
rnacentral:rRNA from 1 species